UACAGAGGGUGCAAGCGUUGUUCGGAAUUAUUGGGCGUAAAGCGCACGUAGGCGGCUCUGCAAGUCGGAUGUGAAAUCCCUCGGCUCAACCAAGGAAGUGCAUUCGAAACUGCGGAGCUUGAGUAGUUAAGAGGAUCGCGGAAUUCCCGGUGUAGAGGUGAAAUUCGUAGAUAUCGGGAGGAACACCAGUGGCGAAGGCGGCGAUCUGGGAACAUACUGACGCUGAGGUGCGAAAGCGUGGGGAGCAAACAGG
rnacentral:rRNA from 1 species